GUACACUUAGUGUAAUGGUUGCACACGCAGAUAGAUCAGGCCAUCUGCUUCCCGCGAGGUCGCCGGUUCAAGUCCUGUAGCGUCCA